rnacentral:hammerhead_ribozyme from 1 species
GCACUGCUGAGGAGUCCCACAAUAGGACGAAACGGGAGUCCAGUGC